rnacentral:rRNA from 1 species
UACGGAGGGUGCAAGCGUUGUCCGGAUUUAUUGGGCGUAAAGAGCUCGUAGGCGGUCUGUCGCGUCGGCUGUGAAACCCCGAGGCUCAACCUCGGGCCUGCAGUCGAUACGGGCAGACUAGAGUGCGGUAGGGGAGACUGGAAUUCCUGGUGUAGCGGUGAAAUGCGCAGAUAUCAGGAGGAACACCGAUGGCGAAGGCAGGUCUCUGGGCAUUAACUGACGCUGAGGAGCGAAAGCAUGGGGAGCGAACAGG